rnacentral:rRNA from 1 species
GACGGGUGAGUAAUGUAUAGGAAUCUACCUAGUAGUACGGAAUAAUUGUUGGAAACGACAACUAAUACCGUAUACGCCCUACGGGGGAAAAUUUAUUGCUAUUAGAUGAGCCUAUAUUAGAUUAGCUAGUUGGUGGAGUAAUAGCCUACCAAGGCAAUGAUCUAUAGCUGAUCUGAGAGGAUGAUCAGCCACACUGGAACUGAGAUACGGUCCAGACUCCUACGGGAGGCAGCAGUGGGGAAUAUUGGACAAUGGGCGAAAGCCUGAUCCAGCCAUGCCGCAUGAGUGAAGAAGGCCUUUGGGUUGUAAAGCUCUUUUAGUGAGGAAGAUAAUGACGGUACUCACAGAAGAAGUCCUGGCUAACUCCGUGCCAGCAGCCGCGGUAAUACGGAGAGGGCUAGCGUUAUUCGGAAUUAUUGGGCGUAAAGGGCGCGUAGGCUGGUUAAUAAGUUAAAAGUGAAAUCCCGAGGCUUAACCUUGGAAUUGCUUUUAAAACUAUUAAUCUAGAGAUUGAAAGAGGAUAGAGGAAUUCCUGAUGUAGAGGUAAAAUUCGUAAAUAUUAGGAGGAACACCAGUGGCGAAGGCGUCUAUCUGGUUCAAAUCUGACGCUGAAGCGCGAAGGCGUGGGGAGCAAACAGGAUUAGAUACCCUGGUAGUCCACGCUGUAAACGAUGAAUGUUAAAUAUGGGAAGUUUACUUUCUGUAUUACAGCUAACGCGUUAAACAUUCCGCCUGGGGACUACGGUCGCAAGAUUAAAACUCAAAGGAAUUGACGGGGACCC